rnacentral:rRNA from 1 species
AACCUUUACACUGCACGACAGUGCGAUAGGGGGACUCCGAGUGCGAGGGCAUAUAGCCCUCGCUUUUCUGUACCGUAAGGUGGUACAGGAACAAGGACUGGGCAAGACCGGUGCCAGCCGCCGCGGUAAUACCGGCAGUCCGAGUGAUGGCCGAUAUUAUUGGGCCUAAAGCGUCCGUAGCUUGCUGUGUAAGUCCAUUGGGAAAUCGACCAGCUCAACUGGUCGGCGUCCGGUGGAAACUACACAGCUUGGGGCCGAGAGACUCAACGGGUACGUCCGGGGUAGGAGUGAAAUCCUGUAAUCCUGGACGGACCACCAAUGGGGAAACCACGUUGAGAGACCGGACCCGACAGUGAGGGACGAAAGCCAGGGUCUCGAACCGGAUUAGAUACCCGGGUAGUCCUGGCUGUAAACAAUGCUCGCUAGGUAUGUCACGCGCCAUGAGCACGUGAUGUGCCGUAGUGAAGACGAUAAGCGAGCCGCCUGGGAAGUACGUCUGCAAGGAUGAAACUUAA